rnacentral:rRNA from 1 species
UGCUUAUCGGCGGACGGGUGAGUAACACGUAGGCCACCUGCCUGUAAGAUCGGGAUAACUACCGGAAACGGUAGCUAAGACCGGAUAGCUGGUUUCGGUGCAUGCCGGAAUCAUGAAACACGGGGCAACCUGUGGCUUACGGAUGGGCCUGCGGCGCAUUAGCUAGUUGGCGGGGUAACGGCCCACCAAGGCGACGAUGCGUAGCCGACCUGAGAGGGUGAUCGGCCACACUGGGACUGAGACACGGCCCAGACUCCUACGGGAGGCAGCAGUAGGGAAUCUUCCGCAAUGGGCGCAAGCCUGACGGAGCAACGCCGCGUGAGUGAUGAAGGUUUUCGGAUCGUAAAGCUCUGUUGCCAGGGAAGAAUGUCGUGGAGAGUAACUGCUCUGCGAAUGACGGUACCUGAGAAGAAAGCCCCGGCUAACUACGUGCCAGCAGCCGCGGUAAUACGUAGGGGGCAAGCGUUGUCCGGAAUUAUUGGGCGUAAAGCGCGCGCAGGCGGUCUUUUAAGUCUGGUGUUUAAGCCCGGGGCUCAACCCCGGUUCGCACCGGAAACUGGAAGACUUGAGUGCAGGAGAGGAAAGCGGAAUUCCACGUGUAGCGGUGAAAUGCGUAGAGAUGUGGAGGAACACCAGUGGCGAAGGCGGCUUUCUGGACUGUAACUGACGCUGAGGCGCGAAAGCGUGGGGAGCAAACAGGAUUAGAUACCCUGGUAGUCCACGCCGUAAACGAUGAGUGCUAGGUGUUAGGGGUUUUCGAUACCCCUUGGUGCUCGAAGUAACACAAUAAGCACUCCGCCUGGGGGAGUACGCUCGCAAGAGUGAAACUCACAGGAAUUGACGGGGACCUCGCACAAGCCAGUGGGAGUAUUGUGGUUUAAUUUCGAAGCAACCGCGGAAGAACCUUACCCAGGUCUUGGAUCAUUCUCUUCUGAAAGCCCCUAGAAAUAGGGUCCUUCUCUUCGGGGAACAGAGGGUGAUAGGGUGAUGCAUGGAUUGUCGUCCAUCUUCAUGAUCGUUGAAGAAUGAUGGGGUUUAAUGUCCCCGUCAACGAAGCGCA